GGGUCAUCCGUUCUACAAAUCGGCUGGGAAAUAAUCUCGGAGAAAUUGCAUUGAAUCAGAAUCCUUUCUGCUUUUGCUUCCAAGGUUGAUAUCCAGUUUUUUGGUAGCAGGUGCUUGAGCUCUAGUACAAAAUUUCCACAACCACCAAUUGCUUCAGGAGCACACAUGAUAUUACCAUCAUAAUUAGUAACCCAAGUAAUUGGUUUGUUCUGGUCCUGUGGAAUUUCCAUAUCAUCAUAACGUUCAGGC
rnacentral:misc_RNA from 1 species